CUCACACGUAUAGUUAUAUACUGCAUUUAUAUUAUGAGUUACCACGAUAUUUUGAAUUAUAUAGUGUUUUGAUAUGUUUUGAUAUGACUAUCAUUGGUAAUUAUUGGUUAUCUCUCCUCUUCCGAGAGAGAGAAUUAUCUCUAUUCUCUCCCCUUCUUCACAAUACAAAAUCUUUCAGAAGGAUAGAUAAAUCAUUUUGUUCUUUUGUUGCAAUAUAGAUUCGAUCUUAGGAUCAAUGUUUUCUUCCGAUUAGCGGAUUUUAAAUUUAGCGUAGGCAAUUUUGUUGUAGUUUUCAAACCAACCUUGGAUCUGUUCUUCAUGUUCAUCAAUCUUAUUUUCCAGUUUUGGUUUGAAAUUUAAUAAAUUCGGAUCAUGUUUUCGGCUUGUCCGAUAGUAUAUAUUCGUUUGGCGACUUUUGUUUUGCUCUAAAUAAACUACUCUGAUCUUUGUGAUUAGAGUUUUCUUAGUUAUAAUGAUCAUCAUGUUCUGCAAAUCCUCUGAAUCCUGUUUUGCUUGGAUCAAGACUUCUUCUUCAAAGGCUAUGCACGAAUUCCUUCUAGACAAGAGUCAAUCUUUACUCAUCCAUAAAUAUGGAUUCGAUAGCACCAAAGAGUAAAGUAUCUUCAAUGGAAGAAAGAUGCGUUGUGAAAUAUUUCAGCUGAUUUAAAGGAGAUCGGUAGAGUUAGCAUCCCUUGAGCAAGGAUGGUCUAACGAAGAUUCUACUCUUCAACCAGUUGGGUUUUUCUUGCUUUAUAACCGGAGCGGAUAUAAGCUUUAAUAUAAAGUAGCAGCUACGGUGGAAGAUCGGAGAUGGAGUACAAGGACAGAGGGUUGCAGCUGAGUGGUGAAGCACAUGUUGGAAGACACAGUGGUUUGAAGAUGAAAACUACCGGCAGCGAUUCUAUUGUGAAUCUCGAUUUGCUUGUAUUACUUUUGCCACCUAGCUUAAUAUUCUUUAUUCUGCUUACACACGUGUAUCUGUGUUUGCACGCAUGAUGGACAAAAUGUUGUACUCCUUGUAAUCAAAUCAAAGAUGUUAACAAAAACAAGAUAUGACUAUCAUUCUUUUUGUCGCGUUUAAAAUUAUAGUGUUUGUUGCAC
rnacentral:lncRNA from 1 species